rnacentral:rRNA from 1 species
GACGAACGCUGGCGGCGUGCUUAACACAUGCAAGUCGAACGGUGACGCACCUUCGGGUGCUGAUCAGUGGCGAACGGGUGAGUAACACGUGGGCAACCUGCCCCUGACUCUGGGAUAACUCCUCGAAAGAGGUGCUAAUACCGGAUACCACCUCCCUCGGCACCGGGGGAGGUUGAAAGUUUUUCGGUCAGGGAUGGGCCCGCGGCCUAUCAGCUAGUUGGUGGGGUGAUGGCCCACCAAGGCGACGACGGGUAGCCGGCCUGAGGGGGCGACCGGCCACACUGGGACUGAGACACGGCCCAGACUCCUACGGGAGGCAGCAGUGGGGAAUAUUGCGCAAUGGGCGAAAGCCUGACGCAGCAACGCCGCGUGAGGGAUGACGGCCUUCGGGUUGUAAACCUCUUUCAGCAGGGACGAAGCGAAAGUGACUGUACCUGCAGAAGAAGCGCCGGCUAACUACGUGCCAGCCGCCGCUGUAAAAC